rnacentral:rRNA from 1 species
AUGAACGCUGGCGGCGUGCCUAAUACCUGCAAGUCGAGCGAACAGAUAAGGAGCUUGCUCCUUUGACGUUAGCGGCGGACGGGUGAGUAACACGUGGGUAACUUACCUAUAAGACUGGAAUAACUCCGGGAAACCGGGGCUAAUGCCGGAUAACAUGUUGAACCGCAUGGUUCUACAGUGAAAGGCGGCUUUGCUGUCACUUAUAGAUGGACCCGCGCCGUAUUAGCUAGUUGGUGAGGUGACGGCUCACCAAGGCAACGAUACGUAGCCGACCUGAGAGGGUGAUCGGCCACACUGGAACUGAGACACGGUCCAGACUCCUACGGGAGGCAGCAGUAGGGAAUCUUACGCAAUGGGCGAAAGCCUGACGGAGCAACGCCGCGUGAGUGAUGAAGGUCUUCGGAUCGUAAAACUCUGUUAUUAGGGAAGAACAAAUGCGUAAGUAACUGUGCGCGUCUUGACGGUACCUAAUCAGAAAGCCACGGCUAACUACGUG